rnacentral:rRNA from 1 species
AUUGAACGCUGGCGGCAGGCCUAAUACAUGCAAGUCGAGCGAGCGGCGGACGGGCGAGUAAUGCCUAGGAAUCUGCCUGGUCGUGGGGGAUAACGUCCCGAAACGGGCGCUAAUACCGCAUCCUAUUAGAUGAGCCUAGGUGGGAUUAGCUAGUUGGUGAGGCAUAGGCUUACCAAGGCGACGAUCCCUAGCUGGUCUGAGAGGGUGACCAGCCACACGGGAACUGAGACACGGUCCAGACUCCUACGGGAGGCAGCAGUGGGGAAUAUGGCGCAAUGGGCGCAAGCCUGAUGCAGCCAUGCCGCGUGUAUGAAGAAGGCCUUCGGGUUGUAAAGUACUUUCAGCGGGGAAGCGGUACCCGCAGAAGAAGCACCGGCUAACUCCGUGCCAGCAGCCGCGGUAAUAC